rnacentral:lncRNA from 1 species
GAUGGGGAAUGAUAUGGAGGGGUUUAGGGUGAGUGUGGAAGAGUGUUUGAUGGUUGGAGGGUGGUGGAGAACUAGGCAAAGAGGGUGGAAGAAGGUGGAGUGGCUGUUAUGUUUUCUAGGCACUAGAAUGGUGUUUUUGGGGUGUUUUGCUUCCUAGGGUGUGCAUGGACGAAUUUCUGUGAUAAAAUGAUGAAUAUGGGGGAUUAUUC